rnacentral:tRNA from 1 species
AAAAAGAUAGGAUUAAGGCUGCUAACUUUGAUCGGGGGAAAAUUUUUCUCCUCUUUUUU